GGCCAGGGUGCAGUACAUGUGGAUUCUGCAAGCAUCAAGCCAGGGAUCAAUCAACAGCUGCAUGCACGGCGUACUCCAUGCUGCAUACUGUGAUGCACGGCAUGGUUGCUGUGAUUGGCGACGAUAUGUCAGGGUAGGCUUAAGUUCGGCUGUUUGUUUUUGAGAUAAAAAACAUGAUAUCUUCCACGGCUGUUUCGGCUAAGGGGCGGAGAAGAAUAAUGAUGAUAUGUUUAUAUAGAGAUAUAUAGAUUAUUGUGCCCAUUCGCAGCCAGCUUUACAAGAGUUUCUUUUCACAUCCAUGCCCUGGUGCCCGGAGUCAGUUACAUUCAGAUAUGCCCUCCAAAGUAGGCCGCUUGCGACUUCAGAUACGGUAGAAGUAGCAACAGUGGCCAGUGAGAGGGAGAAAGGAAGAAGACAAACAUGACCAUCGAUCUCAAUUGUGAAGAGCAAAUAUAAGGGAAUAAUAUCACUCUAGCCGGGCAAGCAGAAUUGCCAAUCUCCAGCUUCAUCAUGUUUUUCAUUGUAACUAACCUCUUUGUUUAAGCAAAGACGCAAUCUUAGACAAUCACGCCGUAAUAAAUAACGACUCGAUGGUAAUAAUAUACCUAUAUACACAUGCAUGAUCGGCCUACCGGAACACCCCUCACCCAAGCCGAACCCCAGCCUGCCGAUUCCUCCUCGCUGUUGCCCCCAUCGCAUUAUUCAUUCCCGUAUGCUGGCUACUAUCCAACGUACUCAUCGCCUCCCGCUUCUUCUCCUCUUCAAUCUUCUUCAGGUGCUUUUCCGUCUUCAUCUUCCCGCUUCCCUUGCCAUGGAACUGGUGCGAAAGGUGCUUAAAUGCCUCUUUCUGGUCCAUCAACCGACCAAAAUCAUCCACAUACUUCAGCUGUACGUCCGGCUUAUACUCGCGGUUGAAGAUCUCGGCCAUCUGGCGCGACUCUAGCUGGUCGCGCUGCUUGUUUUCCUGCCGUGCGUACUCCUCCCGGUCCCGAGCGGUCAUGCGGUCCAGCUUGCCCGAGGCACGGUCGCGUUCUCGCUGGAGUCGAGCGCGUCGCUCUGCUUCCGCUUCGCGCCGUUGCUUCUCUUGUAGGAAUCGUUGGCGCUCACGGUGGAGAGUGUUUAGCUCGCUCGCAUUUGAUUCCUUUACCAGUCCACGUUGCUUAAGCAUGGCGAGUGUAGCACCGAGACCCUUGUCAAGUGUCGAUUCCUCUUCUAAUCCAGUAGCGGUAAUAUCAGCAGCUGGCGUGGUAUCGCUUCUCUUCAAGCGUUCUUGGAGAUCCUCUUCAUCUUCAAUAUCAUUAUACGACCGCUCCAUAUCCAUAUCCACAUCUUCGUGCCUUUCUUCUUUCACCUCAGGAGAUGCUUCUUUCGGCCGUGAGACUGAGCGCUGGCGACGAUCAGGGAGUGUGGGGCGCUGCAGGUUUGCGACAAAUUCAGAUGUCUCAUCGAUAACCAGACCAGGACCGUCAUCCUCACCAUUCGCAUUGUCCAAAUCCAUCCCAUUCUGCGCUUGUUCCGACUCUUCUCGCAAUUGUCUUGCGAUAUCCUCCGGGCGAACCUUCUUCCUUUUCUUGAAUGCAGUUCGUCUCUGCGCCGCUAGCGAUGCUUGUAAAUCCUCAUCGUCAACGAAAGAUACGUCCCUAUCUGAUUGUCUCGGGGUGCGGGUCGAAAGUCCAUUACUGGGAGCUACUGAAUCCACUUCCAUAUUAUCUCCAUUGGAUUGCACACCAGUACCACCGUUAGGAAUAUCUGUAGUUUCUAUAGUUGGGAAGAUAUCAUCCUCAUCCACCGCUUUUCGCCUCGUAGAUUUCGUUUUCUUCUUUUUCGGUUUCUUGAUUUUAAUGUCUGUCGCUUCCUGGUAGUCUGAUGGCGUCGCUGUAGUUUCGGGCAUGAUAUCGAGGUUGACAGGUUGCGCUUUUAACUUCGACGACACAUCCUGCCGCUUGGCCAUCCGCUCUUCCUCAUUUAUAACUUUAGCAUCCAAUGUAAACCGUUUCCUCUUCUUCCCGUCGAUCUCCUCGUCAUAUUGCGCCAGAAUAGAACCGGAACC
rnacentral:sRNA from 1 species